GGGAAGCUGGAGCCACGGUCGCAGCGAGGGCGAGCAGCCGCGCGCUCCCGGUGCUGGGAGAAAUGCCCGCAGAACCAAGGCGAUCAGACGCGAGGAGGCUUGAGCACAUGGUUGGGACCAAGGGGAGUUUUACAGUUUGAGUUGGAUGUACCAUUCUACCUCUGAUUUGGACCCUGGCAGCCCCUCUGUCUCCUGAAAAAAACCCCUCACGCCUUUUCUUCCAGACUUGGUCAGGCACUGUGCUGGGAAUGGGGCAAAAAGAAUGAAUUCAAUACAGACCCGACUGCGUGGCUGAAUCGCACAGAUGCUGCGCCGUGCAAAUGAAAACAGACACGCAAGACCGUGCUCUAACUCAGUCCGUCCCGAUGGAACCCCACAGCCACCAACACCCAGCUCUGGCGUCAGGAGGGAUCAGUGGUUGCCUCAGAUGGGGUGUGAGGGCAUUGACCUGGAAGGGGCGCAGAGGAGCUUUCUGGGGUGAUGGGGCUGUUCUAUAUUUUGAUGGCAGCUGUGGCCACAUGAGUAUAAUCCAUGGGUGAACAUUUCUUGAAACACAUCAAAAUACACACUUAAAUGGUUGCACCUCAGUGCAUGCAAAUUAAGCCUCGAUAAAUUAUUGCGUGGACUAAAUUUUUAACAAUAGGGGGAAAAACUUGUCCCCGAGGAACUGAAAUCUUGUGAAGUCAUGGAAAGGGCAUUUUAGUUGGAGGAGCAGCCUGCACCUAUUCCACCAUCAGGCAUUCAUUACAUACCUGCUAUGUCCCAGGUCCUGAGGACAGAGACAGCAAUGGAGAAGGAACACCUCCCCUUCCAGAACAGCUUCCCACCCAGUGGAAGAGAAUGGCCCGCGAUGCGUGAAUUGUACACCAGAGGGACAGCAUGAGCAAGGGGACAGAGGACUGUACAUGCCCAGGCUUCGAGAGGAGAGGGUGCCCUGGUGGGUUACAGCACAGGGUUUACCAGGGCAGGGCGUGGAGGGUGGUGGGACCAGGUCUUGCAAAAGUGUGUGUGCUGGUUGAAGGAUCUGGGUAUUCACCCUGAAGCCAAGAGAGGAGAGCAACUUCAGCAUGAAUCUGGGGAGGGAGGAGAGUGACACACGCAGAGCCUUGGUUUAGAAAAACUGUCCCGACGUUUCUACCCUGGGAUCUCUGGCUGGUUGUAACCACACCCUCUGUCAACAGAGGGCAGGAGCAUUAAACAGGAGAUGGGGACACCAGCCAGGAGGCUGUUGCGUGGUGAAAAAUUGGUCCCCCAGGGCUGGGUCCAGACUGUGACAUGCCUUGUUUGAUGGCCAAUGCAUAAACAGACAGAAUGUCAUGUAGCCAUACAAUAGAAUAUUAUUUACUACCACCAACAAAAAGAUACAAAGCUCUGAUAUAGGCCAAACCAAAGAUAACCCCCAAAACAGUACACUAAGUGAAAGAAGCCAGUCACAAAAGACCAUGUAUGGUAUUAUUUCAUUUAUAUAAAAUGUCCAGAAUAGGCAAAUCUAUUUUGUAGAGUAGUAAUUGUCUAGGCUGGGGGGGAUGGGAGUAGAAUGAGGGAUGACCACUAAGGGGAGCACUGUUUCUUACUGGGAUGAUGUAAAUGUUCUCAAAAUUAGAUUCUGGUGACGUUUGCACAACUCUGUUCUGUAUGCAUUUAA